CUAUGACCCAAAGGCUGGAACAAGUUAAGGAACCUGAGAACUUAUCAAUAGUGAGGAACACCACCAAGGAGCUCAGUGCCACCCAUCACGCAGGAUACGGGAGCAGGGCCGAGUCCAGGUAUCGGGAUUUCCUGAC